UACGGGGGGGGCAAGCGUUGUUCGGAAUUACUGGGCGUAAAGGGCUCGUAGGUGGCCAACUAAGUCAGACGUGAAAUCCCUCGGCUUAACCGGGGAACUGCGUCUGAUACUGGAUGGCUAGAGAUUGGGAGAGGGAUGCGGAAUUCCAGGUGUAGCGGUGAAAUGCGUAGAUAUCUGGAGGAACACCGGUGGCGAAGGCGGCAUCCUGGACCAACACUGACGCUGAGGAGCGAAAGCGUGGGGAGCGAACGGG
rnacentral:rRNA from 1 species